rnacentral:rRNA from 1 species
CCCCUACGUGGGGCAGCAGUGGGGAAUAUUGCACAAUGGGGGAAACCCUGAUGCAGCGACGCCGCGUGGGCGAGGAAGUACCUCGGUAUGUAAAGCCCUAUCAGCAGGGAAGAAACAGGACAGUACCUGACUAAGAAGCCCCGGCUAACUACGUGCCAGCAGCCGCGGUAAUACGUAGGGGGCAAGCGCUAUCCGGAUUUACUGGGUGUAAAGGGAGCGUAGACGGCAAUGCAAGCCAGAUGUGAAAGCCCGGGGCUCAACCCCGGUACUGCAUUUGGAACUGUGUAGCUGGAGUGUCGGAGAGG